rnacentral:misc_RNA from 1 species
UGUACACACCGCCCGUCACACCAUGGAAGUUAGCCACGCCCGAAGUCGUUACUCCAACCCUUGUGGAGGAGGACGCCGAAGGUGGGGCUGAUGACUGGGGUGAAGUCGUAACAAGGUAGCCGUACCGGAAGGUGCGGCUGGAUCACCUCCUAACAGGGAGACAAAUCAGAUAUUGAUGUCUGGGUCAAUUUUGAGCCUAGGCCGAUAUCCUGUCAUCUCGAAGGUCGAUCGGUACCUCAAGGAACAAUGAAUCUGAGAUGUCAUGUUUCAGAUGUAUUGGUCUUUCAGUUUCUCAACUUCUGUCUAGGUCACCCCAUUUUUCUUGUCUCCUGGGCCAUUAGCUCAGGUGGUUAGAGCGCACCCCUGAUAAGGGUGAGGUCCCUGGUUCAAGUCCAGGAUGGCCCAUUCGUGUUUGGGGGUUUAGCUCAGUUGGUAGAGCGCCUGCUUUGCAAGCAGGAUGUCAGCGGUUCGAGUCCGCUAACCUCCAUCAACACCAUGGCUCAGAUGACCUCUGAACCACAGGAGCGGAUUCUGUGGGGCGAUCUGGACGCAUGUACUGGUGAAGAACGAAGAGUUCAGCAUCCUUUCAUUCCCCAUCCAUCAAUGGAUUGAUCCAUAGGGGUUGAAAAGACGCUGGAUUCAACAGUUGUUUUGACGAUUGGUCAAGGCAACUGAUGAUUCAGCAGAACCUUGACAACUGCAUAGGUGAGUCUGGAAAGAAAGCAUCUCAUGGAUGCCCAGGAGCUAUGGCGACUGGGAACAAUUCUUGAGUUAAAAGAGCCGAGAAUCCAAGACUAAAGUAUGUGAGCCGAAUCAAGUGGUAAUGGGAUGAACAGUUCCAUGGCCAUCUGGAUUGGGUAAGCGGUUUGGUUUUGGACAAAAUGGUCAAGCUACAAAGGGCUCACGGUGGAUACCUAGGCACACAGAGA